UUUGCAGAGGAUGCUUCGGGUUCGGCUCCGGUCUAAGUUCCUUGGAACAGGACGUCAUAGAGGGUGAGAAUCCCGUAUGUGACUGGUUGCCACGCCCGUGUGAAGCUCCUUCGACGAGUCGAGUUGUUUGGGAAUGCAGCUCAAAAUGGGUGGUAAAUUUCAUCUAAAGCUAAAUAUUGGCCAGAGACCGAUAGCGCACAAGUAGAGUGAUCGAAAGAUGAAAAGCACUUUGGAAAGAGAGUCAAACAGUACGUGAAAUUGUUGAAAGGGAAGCGCUUGCAACCAGACUUGCCCGCGGGUGAUCAGCCGGUAUUCUUACCGGUGCACUCGCCCGUGGUCAGGCCAGCAUCGGUUUGGGCGGCUGGAUAAAGUCCACCGGAAUGUAGCUCCUCUCGGGGAGUGUUAUAGCCGGAGGUGCCAUGCAGCCCGCCCGGACCGAGGACCGCGCUUCGGCUAGGAUGCUGGCGUAAUGGUUGUAAGCGACCCGUCUUGAAACACGGACCAAGGAGUCUAACAUCUAUGCGAGUGUUUGGGUGUCAAACCCAUGCGCGUAAUGAAAGUGAACGGAGGUGGGAACCCUUAAGGGUGCACCAUCGACCGAUCCUGAUGUCUUCGGAUGGAUUUGAGUAAGAGCAUAGCUGUUGGGACCCGAAAGAUGGUGAACUAUGCCUGAAUAGGGUGAAGCCAGAGGAAACUCUGGUGGAGGCUCGCAG
rnacentral:rRNA from 1 species